rnacentral:rRNA from 1 species
GAUUAACGCUGGCGGCGUGCCUAACACAUGCAAGUCGAACGAAAGAACUAUUUAGGAGAGAAACUAGUUUUCACUCAUUAGCCUUCUUUUAGGAGAAGGGGUAGGCAGGGCAGCUUGGUUUCGCUUUUAGCGAAACUUGGGCUUUUGCCAACUGCCCGAUGAGGGGAAACAGGCGUUUCCCCUCAUAGUUCUUUAGUGGCGGACGGGUGAGUAACACGUUGGUACCUGCCCUCCUAGUGGGGAAUAACCUGGCCGAAAGGUCGGCUAAUACCGCAUGAUAUCUUCGGAUUAAAGCAUUUAUGCGCUAGAGGAGGGGCC